UACAGAGGGGGCCAGCGUUGUUCGGAAUUACUGGGCGUAAAGGGCGCGUAGGCGGCCUUCUAAGUCGGACGUGAAAUCCCCGGGCUCAACCCGGGAACUGCGUUCGAUACUGGAAGGCUUGAAUCCGGGAGAGGGAUGUGGAAUUCCAGGUGUAGCGGUGAAAUGCGUAGAUAUCUGGAGGAACACCGGUGGCGAAGGCGACAUCCUGGACCGGUAUUGACGCUGAGGCGCGAAAGCCAGGGGAGCAAACGGG
rnacentral:rRNA from 1 species